AUUGAACGCUGGCGGCAGGCCUAACACAUGCAAGUCGAGCGGAUGAAGGGAGCUUGCUCCUGGAUUCAGCGGCGGACGGGUGAGUAAUGCCUAGGAAUCUGCCUGGUAGUGGGGGAUAACGUCCGGAAACGGGCGCUAAUACCGCAUACGUCCUGAGGGAGAAAGUGGGGGAUCUUCGGACCUCACGCUAUCAGAUGAGCCUAGGUCGGAUUAGCUGGUUGGUGGGGUAAAGGCCUACCAAGGCGACGAUCCGUAACUGGUCUGAGAGGAUGAUCAGUCACACUGGAACUGAGACACGGUCCAUGCGCCUACGGGAGGCAGCAGUGGGGAAUAUUGGACAGUGGGCGGAAGCCUGAUCCAGCCAUGCCGCGUGUGUGAAGAAGGUCUUCGGAUUGUAAAGCACUUUAAGUUGGGAGGAAGGGCAGUAAGUUAAUACCUUGCUGUUUUGACGUUACCAACAGAAUAAGCACCGGCUAACUUCGUG
rnacentral:rRNA from 1 species